UCAUCCAAACUGAUGGAUGAAAGAAAAAUCACUUUGCCGGGAGAUAUGGAUGGACCGAUUUGAGGAGAACCAGCUGAGCAGAGCGAUCCACAUAGAAUUCAUCUGUCAACCGUUUGAAGAAGUCGCUGCCUGAUGCUGCUGGAAGUGGACUUGAUAUGAUUUGAAUUACCUGGCCAGAAAACCAAAACAAGGAGCUAAAAGAGGCAACAACGAAAGAAAAUAAGUCUGUAGAGCUGUACAGUUGGUCAGUGUAUGCGAUCC